rnacentral:miRNA from 1 species
UUGGAGAAGCCAGGCGAGAGGGUUAGACACCAGGGUGCGUAUCAACAGCAACAGGGAGGAAGACAGGCCAGGGGGCAGACACAAGACUUACUCAUCGUCAUCCUCCUCCUCAUCUUCGUCAUCAUCAUCAUCCUCAUCGUCCUCUUCCUC